rnacentral:tRNA from 1 species
GGAGAAUUGGCAGAAUGGUAAUGCGCCCGGUUGCUAACCGGUACACCGGAGACGGUGCGGAGGUUCGAGUCCUUCAUUCUCCG